AGUCCAGUGGCUCCUCAGGAGGCCUUGCAGCCGUGACAGUGAUCUUCCUGCUGGUCCUAGCAGCACUCUUAGGAUAUCAGCACAGGAAUCGCCUGAAACACUUGAUAUGGUCAGACAGAGGACGACAAAGACAAGGUGGGACUCAGGAGGAUCAUAUCCCAGCAGGAGGAACUGAACAACAACACCAAAGCAUGGCAACAUAUCAGGACAUUGCAGAAUACUCCACCAUAUCAGACCGUCAAGGUCAAACCAGAGCUUCUGUGGUCAGUGCCAUUGACACGGUGUACAGCACGGUACAAUAUGAAGACCAGGUGGCAGAAGAACCAACGUACGGCAAGGUAAACAAGAAAAGAAAACCUAAAAAACCCAAAGAGGUAACGGAUGCAUAUGCCCUGGCCGAUCUGCCAUGACAACAUUCACAUUCCGUCCUGCUCAGAAUGCUCAACGAUCUAACUCUGUUAUGUCAAUGUGAUACUGGUGAAGAGGUUUUAUGGUGCUCAUUGUCGAGGUGUAUAUUGUGUUUGAUGUCUCUAUCCUAUUAUGUCCCCUGUGUACUACGGCUAUAUUGUAUGCAUUUAAAGGAAGCAGGAGAGAGAAGACCAUGUGACAGCUAUUUGAAUACUCCUGUAUAUCACAUUAUGUCAAAUAAAAG